CAGAGAACUUGCCCCUUGGGGUAGAUCUCCCACCCUUUGUUUAUAUUACCUUUGUUGCUUUGGCGGGCCCGUCUCCCAAGACCAUCGGCUUCGGCUGGUCCGCGCCCGUCAGAGGACCCCAAACUCAUUUAAUUGUCUGUCUGAGUACUAUAUAAUAGUUA
rnacentral:misc_RNA from 1 species